CCUACGGGGGGCUGCAGUGGGGAAUAUUGCACAAUGGGCGCAAGCCUGAUGCAGCCAUGCCGCGUGUGUGAAGAAGGCCUUCGGGUUGUAAAGCACUUUCAGCGGGGAGGAAGGCGUUAAGGUUAAUAACCUUGUCGAUUGACGUUACCCGCAGAAGAAGCACCGGCUAACUCCGUGCCAGCAGCCGCGGUAAUACGGAGGGUGCAAGCGUUAAUCGGAAUUACUGGGCGUAAAGCGCACGCAGGCGGUCUGUCAAGUCGGAUGUGAAAUCCCCGGGCUCAACCUGGGAACUGCAUUCGAAACUGGCAGGCUAGAGUCUUGUAGAGGGGGGUAGAAUUCCAGGUGUAGCGGUGAAAUGCGUAGAGAUCUGGAGGAAUACCGGUGGCGAAGGCGGCCCCCUGGACAAAGACUGACGCUCAGGUGCGAAAGCGUGGGGAGCAAACAGGAUUGAUACCCUGGUAGUC
rnacentral:rRNA from 1 species